UGGGUGGUCCGCCGCCGGCAACGCCGCGAAAAGUCCACUGAACCAUAUCAUUUAGAGGAAGGAGAAGUCGUAACAAGGUUUCCGUAGGUGAACCUGCGGAAGGAUCAUUG
rnacentral:rRNA from 1 species